rnacentral:tRNA from 1 species
GCAGGGGUGGUUCAGCGGUAGAAUUCUCACCUUCCGUGCGGGAGGCCCAGGUUUGAUUCCUGGCCAAUGCU